UGGCCUUUUGAUUAUAAUUUAAGGUCUGAUCUGCCCACUGAUUAAUUAAAUGGCCGCGGUAUUUUGACCGUGCAAAGGUAGCAUAAUAAUUAGUUUCUUAAUUAGAAGCUGGAAUGAAAGAUUGAAUGAGAAAAUAACUGUCUCAAAUUAAAUUAUUUAGAAUUUUAUUUUUAAGUUAAAAAGCUUAAAUAUAAUUAAAAGACGAGAAGACCCUAUAGAGUUUUAUUUAAUUAUUUUUUAAAAAAAUAUAAAUUUUAGUAUUUUUUAUUUAAUAAUUAAAUUUUGUUGGGGAGAUAGAAAAAUUAAUUAAACUUUUUUUGUAUAAAAACAUUAAUUAAUGAUUAAUUGAUCCAUAUUUAUUGAUUAAAAGAUAAAAUUACCUUAGGGAUAACAGCGUAAUUUUUUUUGAGAGUUCUUAUCGAAAAAAGAGAUUGCGACCUCGAUGUUGGAUUAAAGUUUAAUUUUGGUGUAGAAGCUAAAAAACUAGGUCUGUUCGACCUUUAAAACUUU
rnacentral:rRNA from 1 species